rnacentral:rRNA from 1 species
UUGGGAAUCUUGGACAAUGGGGGAAACCCUGAUCCAGCCAUGCCGCGUGAGUGAUGAAGGCCUUAGGGUUGUAAAGCUCUUUCGCACGCGACGAUAAUGACGGUAGCGUGAGAAGAAGCCCCGGCUAACUUCGUGCCAGCAGCCGCGGUAAUACGAAGGGGGCUAGCGUUGUUCGGAAUUACUGGGCGUAAAGCGCGCGCAGGCGGGUCAUCAAGUCAGAGGUGAAAGCCCGGAGCUUAACUCCGGAAUAGCCUUUGAAACUGUUGAUCUUGAGUACGGGAGAGNUGAGUGGAAUUCCCAGUGUAGAGGUGAAAUUCGUAGAUAUUGGGAAGAACACCAGUGGCGAAGGCGGCUCACUGGCCCGUUACUGACGCUCAGGCGCGAUAGCGUGGGUAUCAAACA